rnacentral:rRNA from 1 species
UACGUAGGGUCCGAGCGUUGUCCGGAAUUAUUGGGCGUAAAGGGCUCGUAGGCGGUUCGUCACGUCGGGAGUGAAAACUCGGGGCUUAACCCCGAGCCUGCUUCCGAUACGGGCAGACUAGAGGUAGGCAGGGGAGAGCGGAACUCCUGGUGUAGCGGUGGAAUGCGCGGAUAUCAGGAAGAACACCCGUGGCUAAGGCGGCUCUCUAGUACGGUACUGACGCUGAGACGCGAAAGCGUGGGGAGCGAACAGG